rnacentral:rRNA from 1 species
CCCUUAGAUGUUCUGGGAUGCACGCGCGUUACACUGAUUCGUUCAACGAGUUUAUGACCUUGCCUGAUGAGGUGGGGGAAUCUUUUCAAAUCGCAUCGUGAUGGGGAUAGAGUAUUGUAACUGUUAGUCUUCAACGAGGAAUUCCUAGUAAGUACGUGUCAUCAGCUCGUACUGAUUAUGUCCCUGCCCUUUGUACACACCGCCCGUCGCUCCUACCGAUUGAGUGCUCAGGUGAAUAGUAUGGACUGCAUCUGUGUUCGGUCUCCGAAUGUUGACGCGAGAAAUUCUGUGAAUCUUAUUGCUUAGAGGAAGGAGAAGUCGUANCA